UUGAUUGGUCGAAAGACCUUACCAGAUUCUACCACCUCUGUGAACCGUUGACCUCCGGGUUAAUAAUCAAACAUCAGUGUAACGAACGUAAGAGUAUCUUAAUUAAACA
rnacentral:misc_RNA from 1 species